CAAAAGUCCGACCAAUCCGACACGUUUCGUCCAAAGGGUAGAAGAACUUCUUCAGGGAUCUGGAUAAUUCUUCAUAUGGGAUGCUUCUUAUAGUACUCCUAAUUGAAUUCUUCGGUGGGGUGCGUUCCACCGUUGGGGCGCAAUUACGUACUUCCUGUAAAGUAACUGGCGCGUUCAUUCAUAGCAUGAAUAAAGUUCCAAACUCUAGAGACUUGUCUCACAAUAGAGCGUGCGCAUGUCUAAAAGGCAUGCGCACGCAGACAGAAUCUAAAUACAAGAGAAAAAACACAGGGAUACCGGCGAACUGUCGCCAUAAAUGAGAUAACAUACCAAUAUACAUGACCACAUAUAUAAACAAUGAUAAUAAUGAUAACAAUGAUAAUAACAUAUUACAUGAUGGUUUUGUAGCGGAUCGGCAAUAUUAAAACCCACGAAUUCCGCUGGUACAUACAGUAAUCCACAGUCAGCGCUAAAAAGUAAGGCAAUAUCCCACAUCCCCCAGUAACCGGACGAAACACAGUUCUGGGAGUCAACAGACGGCUUUAUUCACAUGCUCCAGAAUUUAUACAUUUCCCCAUGCAAGGGGUUUCCUGAGUCACAUCACAGGGGUAUUACAGGAGUGGACUACAUGGGAAACUUAAUGUACAGAGCAUUUCUCCCAUCAGGCACUGCUGCACGAGAGGGACCCUCCCACUGGAACGUACAGUUAAGUGGAUUAUCCCUCCGUGCAGCAGAACCGACAAUUCACAUAAAAUUAUACAACUUCCCCAAUAUUGGAGUAAUUUACACGAAUGGACGUUCGGUAGAUAGCUGGGGUCUGAGCACAUAAUUCGUGAGAUUACCGCUCAGAUCCCAGCUAAAACAACCGAACGCCGCACGAAAAACGUAUUCGCCAACACAUGUAUUCAAACGACCGAUUGACAUACGGGGAGUAAAGUACCGAAGGUCCCGGAACUCCCGAACGGCCUGGAGGUCCAGUGGUGUUCGCGCCGUCGAGUAGCCUUUUCAGUACCACGCGCUCGACGACCGAACACCGCUGGAGGAACAAAGGAUCCAAGAUGGCCGACCGCAGCAUGGUCGGUAGUCGAACGACGGUCACCUAGGAGAGCCUCUAAUUACCCAGGCCUCAAAUCAAGCGCCACACGUCUCUUAAUGUGUGGGCUAUUACAAGUUAGUUUAUUCGGUUCACGAACAGCCCGCAAAGGCGUUGUUCGUGAAACGAAAUGAAAUACAGCUAUCUGCUUUCGGCAGAUAGCCAAUGCUGGCAAUGCAAUAUUAUACAGUCAGAAUACAUUACACCCAGGAACACACACAUCACCACAACCAUACAGGCAACCCUUAAAGCCAUAGUCUCUGUAUAUUGUCCAAGUGGCUAGGUUUGCCACAGUUAUUAUCAUUGUUUAUAUAUGUGGUCUUGUAUGUCGGUAUAUACAAUGUUAUCACAUUUAUGGCAACAGUUGGCCGGUAUCCCUGUGUUUGUUCUCUUGUAUUUAGAUUCUAUCUGUGUGCGCAUGUCUAAAAGGCAUGCGCACGCUCUAUUGCGAGACAAGUCUCUAGAGUUUGGAACUUUAUUCAUGCUACAAAUGAAUGCGCCAGUUACUUCACAGGACGCACAGGAAGUACGUAAUUGCACCCCAACAGUGGAACACACGCCACCGAAGAAUUAAAUUAAGAAGAAUUAGGAGAACUAUAAGAAGCAUCCCAUAUGAAGAAU
rnacentral:lncRNA from 1 species